UCUCCGUGCAGACACAGAAUCUGAGGUAGGAAGGACUGUGGGACACUAGCUGUCCCCAUUGGUGUCAUCCUACCAUGAUUUUUGAUGUCCCUGAAGAUUUUCUUUGUAACAAGCAGAAUAUUCUGUGGGUUUUAGAUUUCUCAGAAAAAGCCUCAUCCUAUCACACGGAGCUUGGGCCUGGGAUCUAGUUUGUCUCCUGAGCCACAAUGUUUAACUCUGUGACCCAGAAGAACUAAUUGAGCUUGCACGUGAUGCCGGGUGGUGGUCCAAGGCCUCCUGGUAGGGAGAGCAAAUGUCCAGAGGGGAUUGGAUUGGAGGCGGGGCUGAGCCUGUGCCCUGGGGGCCUCCUUUGUAUUUAAGCAGCUCCUAGACAGCCAAGGACUAAGCAGUCCUAGCCUCAGCCUCUACCUUGGAAACUAUUUCAGAUACCAGCCAAGGUGCACAGGGCAUGAGAUCGAACUGACGGAUGCUGCAAAAAUAAAUAUGUCAAUAGCUUUGCUGUGGCUAACCCUACACUUCUUUCUCUAGGUUUGUGAUACCUGGCUCCUGUUGUUUUCCCAACUAUCCUUUGCUUGGAAAUGGCUUUGGCUUCUUCACCAGCUGAUCCCAGUUUAGAUGCUGAAUGGCAGGAGUGGAAGAGGAAAUAUGAGAAAACUUACAGCCAGUGAUGAAUUCUGGGAAAUGAUGACUUGCUCUUCAAACUCAGUACUGAAAGACCAGGAGAUAAUCGGCAUAUGUCUCUUGAGUGACAUUCCUGCAUUUGAGGAUGUGACAGAGGACAGAAAUGUGUCACCUGAGAGAGAUCAGCCAGAGUAGCAGUUGGGAUUUGGAUGGCAAUGCAAAGGCAGCCAGAGUGAAAAAAAUUCCUGCACCAUUGUCUCAGAAGCAUGCUGCCCCAAGAUGUGCGCUUCAUGAUGGUGACAAGGUUAGAGCAGGAGAAAAGAAGAAACAGCAAGGGGGCCUCCUCCGUUAUACAGCGAGGAGGCCUCCUCCGUUAUACUAGCCAGCCUGUCCUGUGAGGGAUCCAACACUCAAGACUUUUAAGGUCCACGCUGUUGUGUGAACACUAAGAAAACCUUACUGAUAUUUUAUUGCAUGCUCUGAAGUCCUUUAUGUUAUCGAUUCUAACAAGGAUCUUUAAAUUUGCUUUAAUAAAAAGAGCAUACACUGUGAUGUCUUAAAAAUAAAGCUUGGUUUUGACUGUA